GAUGAAGAACGUAGCGAAAUGCGAUACUUGGUGUGAAUUGCAGAAUCCCGUGAACCAUCGAGUCUUUGAACGCAAGUUGCGCCCGAAGCCAUUAGGCCGAGGGCACGCCUGCCUGGGCGUCACACGUCGUUGCCCCCCCAUCUACUCCUUCGGGAUUGCGGGGGGCGGAUGAUGGCCUCCCGUGCGCCUCGUCGCGCGGUUGGCAUAAAUGCCAAGUCCUCGGCGACGCACGCCACGACAAUCGGUGGUUGCGAAACCUCGGUUGCCCGUCGUGUGCGGUCGUCGCGCAUCGAGGGCUCGAAAAAAUUGUCGGGCUCCGGCUCGGCUUUCAACGCGACCCCAGGUCAGGCGGGGUUACCCGCUGAAUUUAAGCAUAUCAAAAGCGGGGA
rnacentral:misc_RNA from 1 species